rnacentral:SRP_RNA from 1 species
GCUGGCUGUAGUGGCUUGCGCCUGUAGUCCCAGCUACUCGGGAGGCUGAGGCAGAAGGAUCGCUUGAACCCAGGAGGCCGAGGUUGCAAUGAGCCAAGAUGGUGCCACUGCAUUCCAGCCUGGGUGACAAAGCGAGACUCUGUCUCAA